GGUUAAGCGACUAAGCGUACACGGUGGAUGCCCUGGCAGUCAGAGGCGAUGAAGGACGUGCUAAUCUGCGAUAAGCGUCGGUAAGGUGAUAUGAACCGUUAUAACCGGCGAUUUCCGAAUGGGGAAACCCAGUGUGUUUCGACACACUAUCAUUAACUGAAUCCAUAGGUUAAUGAGGCGAACCGGGGGAACUGAAACAUCUAAGUACCCGAGGAAAAGAAAUCAACCGAGAUUCCCCCAGUAGCGGCGAGCGAACGGGGAGCAGCCCAGAGCCUGAAUCAGUGUGUGUGUUAGUGGAAGCGUCUGGAAAGGCGCGCGAUACAGGGUGACAGCCCCGUACACAAAAAUGCACAUGCUGUGAGCUCGAUGAGUAGGGCGGGACACGUGGUAUCCUGUCUGAAUAUGGGGGACCAUCCUCCAAGGCUAAAUACUCCUGACUGACCGAUAGUGAACCAGUACCGUGAGGGAAAGGCGAAAAGAACCCCGGCGAGGGGAGUGAAAAAGAACCUGAAACCGUGUACGUACAAGCAGUGGGAGCACGCUUAGGCGUGUGACUGCGUACCUUUUGUAUAAUGGGUCAGCGACUUAUAUUCUGUAGCAAGGUUAACCGAAUAGGGGAGCCGAAGGGAAACCGAGUCUUAACUGGGCGUUAAGUUGCAGGGUAUAGACCCGAAACCCGGUGAUCUAGCCAUGGGCAGGUUGAAGGUUGGGUAACACUAACUGGAGGACCGAACCGACUAAUGUUGAAAAAUUAGCGGAUGACUUGUGGCUGGGGGUGAAAGGCCAAUCAAACCGGGAGAUAGCUGGUUCUCCCCGAAAGCUAUUUAGGUAGCGCCUCGUGAAUUCAUCUCCGGGGUAGAGCACUGUUUCGGCAAGGGGGUCAUCCCGACUUACCAACCCGAUGCAAACUGCGAAUACCGGAGAAUGUUAUCACGGGAGACACACGGCGGGUGCUAACGUCCGUCGUGAAGAGGGAAACAACCCAGACCGCCAGCUAAGGUCCCAAAGUCAUGGUUAAGUGGGAAACGAUGUGGGAAGGCCCAGACAGCCAGGAUGUUGGCUUAGAAGCAGCCAUCAUUUAAAGAAAGCGUAAUAGCUCACUGGUCGAGUCGGCCUGCGCGGAAGAUGUAACGGGGCUAAACCAUGCACCGAAGCUGCGGCAGCGACGCUUAUGCGUUGUUGGGUAGGGGAGCGUUCUGUAAGCCUGCGAAGGUGUGCUGUGAGGCAUGCUGGAGGUAUCAGAAGUGCGAAUGCUGACAUAAGUAACGAUAAAGCGGGUGAAAAGCCCGCUCGCCGGAAGACCAAGGGUUCCUGUCCAACGUUAAUCGGGGCAGGGUGAGUCGACCCCUAAGGCGAGGCCGAAAGGCGUAGUCGAUGGGAAACAGGUUAAUAUUCCUGUACUUGGUGUUACUGCGAAGGGGGACGGAGAAGGCUAUGUUGGCCGGGCGACGGUUGUCCCGGUUUAAGCGUGUAGGCUGGUUUUCCAGGCAAAUCCGGAAAAUCAAGGCUGAGGCGUGAUGACGAGGCACUACGGUGCUGAAGCAACAAAUGCCCUGCUUCCAGGAAAAGCCUCUAAGCAUCAGGUAACAUCAAAUCGUACCCCAAACCGACACAGGUGGUCAGGUAGAGAAUACCAAGGCGCUUGAGAGAACUCGGGUGAAGGAACUAGGCAAAAUGGUGCCGUAACUUCGGGAGAAGGCACGCUGAUAUGUAGGUGAAGCGACUUGCUCGUGGAGCUGAAAUCAGUCGAAGAUACCAGCUGGCUGCAACUGUUUAUUAAAAACACAGCACUGUGCAAACACGAAAGUGGACGUAUACGGUGUGACGCCUGCCCGGUGCCGGAAGGUUAAUUGAUGGGGUUAGCGCAAGCGAAGCUCUUGAUCGAAGCCCCGGUAAACGGCGGCCGUAACUAUAACGGUCCUAAGGUAGCGAAAUUCCUUGUCGGGUAAGUUCCGACCUGCACGAAUGGCGUAAUGAUGGCCAGGCUGUCUCCACCCGAGACUCAGUGAAAUUGAACUCGCUGUGAAGAUGCAGUGUACCCGCGGCAAGACGGAAAGACCCCGUGAACCUUUACUAUAGCUUGACACUGAACAUUGAGCCUUGAUGUGUAGGAUAGGUGGGAGGCUUUGAAGUGUGGACGCCAGUCUGCAUGGAGCCGACCUUGAAAUACCACCCUUUAAUGUUUGAUGUUCUAACGUUGACCCGUAAUCCGGGUUGCGGACAGUGUCUGGUGGGUAGUUUGACUGGGGCGGUCUCCUCCUAAAGAGUAACGGAGGAGCACGAAGGUUGGCUAAUCCUGGUCGGACAUCAGGAGGUUAGUGCAAUGGCAUAAGCCAGCUUGACUGCGAGCGUGACGGCGCGAGCAGGUGCGAAAGCAGGUCAUAGUGAUCCGGUGGUUCUGAAUGGAAGGGCCAUCGCUCAACGGAUAAAAGGUACUCCGGGGAUAACAGGCUGAUACCGCCCAAGAGUUCAUAUCGACGGCGGUGUUUGGCACCUCGAUGUCGGCUCAUCACAUCCUGGGGCUGAAGUAGGUCCCAAGGGUAUGGCUGUUCGCCAUUUAAAGUGGUACGCGAGCUGGGUUUAGAACGUCGUGAGACAGUUCGGUCCCUAUCUGCCGUGGGCGCUGGAGAACUGAGGGGGCUGCUCCUAGUACGAGAGGACCGGAGUGGACGCAUCACUGGUGUUCGGGUUGUCAUGCCAAUGGCACUGCCCGGUAGCUAAAUGCGGAAGAGAUAAGUGCUGAAAGCAUCUAAGCACGAAACUUGCCCCGAGAUGAGUUCUCCCUGACUCCUUGAGAGUCCUGAAGGAACGUUGAAGACGACGACGUUGAUAGGCCGGGUGUGUAAGCGCAGCGAUGCGUUGAGCUAACCGGUACUAAUGAACCGUGAGGCUUAACCUU
rnacentral:rRNA from 1 species